GCAAUCUGUGUGAGGACUACCUGAGUGUUACUGAGAGCUCCAAUUUCUAAAUAAAAGUGAACAGGGUUUGUCGGUACGCCAUGGCGUCACUGUUGGGUGUGGUCACAGAUGCAACGGAGAAGACUUCUGAACACAACCAGCGUCAACAAGUGUGUGUAACACACUUUCAACCAGAGGAGCCACUACAGUGAACCCCAGAGAGACUGUGGACAGGCGGAGACACAGAGCAGGGAUGAAGAGGACGGUUUGUCCCCUCUAAUAUGUUUCCAUCCACUCGUCAAUCAAAUGAUCUGAAGUUCCCUAAAAACAUUCAUGUGAGUAAAGCCGGUGAAAG